AACGAACGCUGGCGGCAUGCCUAACACAUGCAAGUCGAACGAGACCUUCGGGUCUAGUGUCGCACGGGUGCGUAACGCGUGGGAACCUGCCCUUAGGUUCGGAAUAACGCCCCGAAAGGGGUGCUAAUACCGGAUAAUGUCUUCGGACCAAAGAUUUAUCGCCUUUGGAUGGGCCCGCGUUGGAUUAGCUAGUUGGUAGGGUAAAAGCCUACCAAGGGGACGAUCCAUAGCUGGUCUGAGAGGAUGAUCAGCCACACUGGGACUGAGACACGGCCCAGACUCCUACGGGAGGCAGCCGUGGGGAAUAUUGGACAAUGGGCGGAAGCCUGAUCCAGCAAUGCCGCGUGAGUGAUGAAGGCCUUAGGGUUGUAAAGCUCUUUUACCCGGGAUGAUAAUGACAGUACCGGGAGAAUAAGCACCGGCUAACUCCGUG
rnacentral:rRNA from 1 species